GACGAACGCUGGCGGCGUGCUUAACACAUGCAAGUCGAACGGAAAGGCCCUGCUUUUGUGGGGUGCUCGAGUGGCGAACGGGUGAGUAACACGUGAGUAACCUGCCCUUGACUUUGGGAUAACUUCAGGAAACUGGGGCUAAUACCGGAUAGGAGCUCCUGCUGCAUGGUGGGGGUUGGAAAGUUUCGGCGGUUGGGGAUGGACUCGCGGCUUAUCAGCUUGUUGGUGGGGUAGUGGCUUACCAAGGCUUUGACGGGUAGGCGGCCUGGGAGGGUGAACGGCCACAUUGGGACUGCGAUACGGACCAGACUCCUACGGGAGGCAGCAGUCGGAAAUAUUGCACAAUGGGCGGAAGCCUGAUGCAGCAACGCCGCGGGCGGGAUGACGGCCUUCGGGUUGUAAACCGCUUUCGCCUGUGACGAAGCGUGAGUGACGGUAAUGGGUAAAGAAGCACCGGCUAACUACGUG
rnacentral:rRNA from 1 species